UACCUCUGUUCCCUUUCCCAUCAGUUCUGAACCCCGGUCUUGGUGCUCUCAAAGGAGGACUAGUAAGACUGCAUCUGGCCUCACAGGGCUGUCAUGGAGCAUACAGGCUAGUUCAAACAAGG